UGUUAUCGACAUGUGAAUUCAUAGCAUGUCAGAAGGCAGACCCGGAGAACUGAAACAUCUUAGUACCCGGAGGAAGAGAAAGAAAAAUCGAUUCCCUGAGUAGCGGCGAGCGAAACGGGAAGAGCCCAAACCAACAAGCUUGCUUGUUGGGGUUGUAGGACACUCUAUACGGAGUUACAAAAGAACAUGUUAGACGAAUCAUCUGGAAAGAUG
rnacentral:rRNA from 1 species